AAAAAACUGUCCAGGCCGGUCAAACCAGCCUAAACGGGCAAAAACCCGGCUCCAGCCGGUCAAAACCGGUCUGGAACCGGUCCACAACGGCUGGAUGAACUGCUCAGUAGGUCACCCCGAUGACGGUAGUUCCAGUAGCAGAUCGGUGACAUGCAAGAACAGAUCUCAGAUCGGAGCUAUAUUGUUUUUUUUUUUCAUUGUAAAAAUUUAAUCUUUGAGAAAUUUUCUUCCUUUAUCUAAUGAAAAUGAAAUGUUGAUUUUUUGUUGUUAAUUGAUGAAUUUCUGG
rnacentral:lncRNA from 1 species